rnacentral:rRNA from 1 species
CUCCUACGGGGCGCAGCAGUGGGGAAUAUUGCACAAUGGGGGAAACCCUGAUGCAGCGAUGCCGCGUGGAGGAAGAAGGUUUUCGGAUUGUAAACUCCUUUUAUCAGGGACGAUAAUGACGGUACCUGAAGAAAAAGCUCCGGCUAACUACGUGCCAGCAGCCGCGGUAAUACGUAGGGAGCGAGCGUCGUCCGGAAUUACUGGGUGUAAAGGGAGCGCAGACGGCAGUGCAAGUCUGGAGUGAAAGCCCGGGGCCCAACCCCGGAACUGCUCUGGAAACUGUGCGGCUAGAGUACUGGAGGGGG